CUGAAAAUGCCAAGAUGAGUCGCACGACUCCAUAAACA
rnacentral:tRNA from 1 species